rnacentral:rRNA from 1 species
ACUAAGCGUACACGGUGGAUGCCCUGGCAGUCAGAGGCGAUGAAGGACGUGCUAAUCUGCGAUAAGCGUCGGUAAGGUGAUAUGAACCGUUAUAACCGGCGAUUUCCGAAUGGGGAAACCCAGUGUGAUUCGUCACACUAUCAUUAACUGAAUCCAUAGGUUAAUGAGGCGAACCGGGGGAACUGAAACAUCUAAGUACCCCGAGGAAAAGAAAUCAACCGAGAUUCCCCCAGUAGCGGCGAGCGAACGGGGAGCAGCCCAGAGCCUGAAUCAGUGUGUGUGUUAGUGGAAGCGUCUGGAAAGGCGUGCGAUACAGGGUGACAGCCCCGUACACAAAAAUGCACAUGCUGUGAGCUCGAUGAGUAGGGCGGGACACGUGGUAUCCUGUCUGAAUAUGGGGGGACCAUCCUCCAAGGCUAAAUACUCCUGACUGACCGAUAGUGAACCAGUACCGUGAGGGAAAGGCGAAAAGAACCCCGGCGAGGGGAGUGAAAAAGAACCUGAAACCGUGUACGUACAAGCAGUGGGAGCACAGAGCAAUCUGUGUGACUGCGUACCUUUUGUAUAAUGGGUCAGCGACUUAUAUUCUGUAGCAAGGUUAACCGAAUAGGGGAGCCGAAGGGAAACCGAGUCUUAACUGGGCGUUAAGUUGCAGGGUAUAGACCCGAAACCCGGUGAUCUAGCCAUGGGCAGGUUGAAGGUUGGGUAACACUAACUGGAGGACCGAACCGACUAAUGUUGAAAAAUUAGCGGAUGACUUGUGGCUGGGGGUGAAAGGCCAAUCAAACCGGGAGAUAGCUGGUUCUCCCCGAAAGCUAUUUAGGUAGCGCCUCGUGAAUUCAUCUCCGGGGGUAGAGCACUGUUUCGGCAAGGGGGUCAUCCCGACUUACCAACCCGAUGCAAACUGCGAAUACCGGAGAAUGUUAUCACGGGAGACACACGGCGGGUGCUAACGUCCGUCGUGAAGAGGGAAACAACCCAGACCGCCAGCUAAGGUCCCAAAGUCAUGGUUAAGUGGGAAACGAUGUGGGAAGGCCCAGACAGCCAGGAUGUUGGCUUAGAAGCAGCCAUCAUUUAAAGAAAGCGUAAUAGCUCACUGGUCGAGUCGGCCUGCGCGGAAGAUGUAACGGGGCUAAACCAUGCACCGAAGCUGCGGCAGCGACGCUUAUGCGUUGUUGGGUAGGGGAGCGUUCUGUAAGCCUGCGAAGGUGUGCUGUGAGGCAUGCUGGAGGUAUCAGAAGUGCGAAUGCUGACAUAAGUAACGAUAAAGCGGGUGAAAAGCCCGCUCGCCGGAAGACCAAGGGUUCCUGUCCAACGUUAAUCGGGGCAGGGUGAGUCGACCCCUAAGGCGAGGCCGAAAGGCGUAGUCGAUGGGAAACAGGUUAAUAUUCCUGUACUUGGUGUUACUGCGAAGGGGGGACGGAGAAGGCUAUGUUGGCCGGGCGACGGUUGUCCCGGUUUAAGCGUGUAGGCUGGUUUUCCAGGCAAAUCCGGAAAAUCAAGGCUGAGGCGUGAUGACGAGGCACUACGGUGCUGAAGCAACAAAUGCCCUGCUUCCAGGAAAAGCCUCUAAGCAUCAGGUAACAUCAAAUCGUACCCCAAACCGACACAGGUGGUCAGGUAGAGAAUACCAAGGCGCUUGAGAGAACUCGGGUGAAGGAACUAGGCAAAAUGGUGCCGUAACUUCGGGAGAAGGCACGCUGAUAUGUAGGUGAAGNUGGAGCUGAAAUCAGUCGAAGAUACCAGCUGGCUGCAACUGUUUAUUAAAAACACAGCACUGUGCAAACACGAAAGUGGACGUAUACGGUGUGACGCCUGCCCGGUGCCGGAAGGUUAAUUGAUGGGGUUAGCGCAAGCGAAGCUCUUGAUCGAAGCCCCGGUAAACGGCGGCCGUAACUAUAACGGUCCUAAGGUAGCGAAAUUCCUUGUCGGGUAAGUUCCGACCUGCACGAAUGGCGUAAUGAUGGCCAGGCUGUCUCCACCCGAGACUCAGUGAAAUUGAACUCGCUGUGAAGAUGCAGUGUACCCGCGGCAAGACGGAAAGACCCCGUGAACCUUUACUAUAGCUUGACACUGAACAUUGAGCCUUGAUGUGUAGGAUAGGUGGGAGGCUUUGAAGUGUGGACGCCAGUCUGCAUGGAGCCGACCUUGAAAUACCACCCUUUAAUGUUUGAUGUUCUAACGUUGACCCGUGAUCCGGGUUGCGGACAGUGUCUGGUGGGUAGUUUGACUGGGGCGGUCUCCUCCUAAAGAGUAACGGAGGAGCACGAAGGUUGGCUAAUCCUGGUCGGACAUCAGGAGGUUAGUGCAAUGGCAUAAGCCAGCUUGACUGCGAGCGUGACGGCGCGAGCAGGUGCGAAAGCAGGUCAUAGUGAUCCGGUGGUUCUGAAUGGAAGGGCCAUCGCUCAACGGAUAAAAGGUACUCCGGGGAUAACAGGCUGAUACCGCCCAAGAGUUCAUAUCGACGGCGGUGUUUGGCACCUCGAUGUCGGCUCAUCACAUCCUGGGGCUGAAGUAGGUCCCAAGGGUAUGGCUGUUCGCCAUUUAAAGUGGUACGCGAGCUGGGUUUAGAACGUCGUGAGACAGUUCGGUCCCUAUCUGCCGUGGGCGCUGGAGAACUGAGGGGGGCUGCUCCUAGUACGAGAGGACCGGAGUGGACGCAUCACUGGUGUUCGGGUUGUCAUGCCAAUGGCACUGCCCGGUAGCUAAAUGCGGAAGAGAUAAGUGCUGAAAGCAUCUAAGCACGAAACUUGCCCCGAGAUGAGUUCUCCCUGACUCCUUGAGAGUCCUGAAGGAACGUUGAAGACGACGACGUUGAUAGGCCGGGUGUGUAAGCGCAGCGAUGCGUUGAGCUAACCGGUACUAAUGAACCGUGAGGCUUAACC